AUUGAACGCUGGCGGCAGGCCUAACACAUGCAAGUCGAACGAGUGGCGGACGGGUGAGUAAUGUCUGUGAAACUGCCCGAUUGAGGGGGAUACCUACUGGAAACGGUAGCUAAUCCCGCAUACCAUCGGAUGUGCCCAGAUGGGAUUAGCUAGUAGGUGGGGUAACGGGGCACCUAGGCGACGAUCCCGAGCGGGUCUGAGAGGAUGACCAGCCACACUGGAACUGAGACACGGUCCAGACGCCUACGGGAGGAAGCAGUGGGGAAUAUGGCGCAAUGGGCGAAAGCGUGAUGCAGCCAUGCCGCGUGUAUGAAGAAGGCAUUCGGGUUGUAAAGUACUUUCAGCGGGGAGGCGUUACCCGCAGAAGAAGCACCGGCUAACUCCGUGCCAGCAGCCGCGGUAAUAC
rnacentral:rRNA from 1 species